rnacentral:tRNA from 1 species
GCCCUGUGGUGAAGUUCAUGAUGAGUUGCAAGCUCAUUGAUGCGCGCGAGAGUGUGCCGGGGCCU